CCCUUAGAUGUUCUGGGCCGCACGCGCGCUACACUGAUGCAUUCAACAAGCCUAGCCUUGACCGAGAGGUCCGGGUAAUCUUUGAAACUGCAUCGUGAUGGGGCUAGAUUAUUGCAAUUAUUGAUCUUCAACGAGGAAUGCCUAGUAAGCGUGAUUCAUCAAAUCGCGUUGAUUACGUCCCUGCCCUUUGUACACACCGCCCGUCGCUCCUACCGAUUGAAUGUGUUGGUGAGGAGCUCGGAUUGGCAGCAGUUGGUGGUUCGCCACCGGCUAUUGCUGAGAAGUCCUCCAAACCGCCCCAUUUAGAGGAAGGAGAAGUCGUAACA
rnacentral:rRNA from 1 species